rnacentral:rRNA from 1 species
UACUCCUACGGGAGGCAGCAGUGGGGAAUAUUGCACAAUGGAGGAAACUCUGAUGCAGCGACGCCGCGUGAGUGAAGAAGUAAUUCGUUAUGUAAAGCUCUAUCAGCAGGGAAGAAAAUGACGGUACCUGACUAAGAAGCACCGGCUAAAUACGUGCCAGCAGCCGCGGUAAU